rnacentral:rRNA from 1 species
GCUACGGGAGACAGCAAUAGGGAAUUUUCGGCAAUGGGGGGAACCCUGACCGAGCAACGCCGCGUGAACGAAGAAGUUAUUCGUAAUGUAAAGUUCUUUUAACAGGGACGAAAGAGAAAUUUGACGGUACCUGAAGAAUAAGCUCCGGCUAAAUACGUGCCAGCCGACGCGGUAAUACGUAGGGAGCGAGCGUUAUACGGAAUUAUUGGGCGUAAAGGGUGCGUAGAUGGCAUAGUAAGUCUUUUGUAAAAAUGGUGGGAUCAACCCAGGAGGGCAAAAGAUACUGCAAAUCGAGAGUAUGACAGAGGCAAGUGGAACUACAUGUGUAGCGGUAAAAUGCGUAAAUAUAUGUAAGAACACCAGUGGCGAAGGCGGCUUGCUGGGUCGAUACUGACAUUGAGGCACGAAAGCGUGGGGAGCAAACAGGAUUAGAUACCCUUGUAGUC